GGUGUGAAAAAUGUGUGUUCCAUAGAAAAAUCUCAUUGUGAACAAAUUCCAAGGGGGGGUGUGAGAGGUAAUAGCGUGCAUCUUGACAAAUGCAGACCGAUUAUUAAAAUUCGCUUCAAAACGGAGCGGGAAAUGAAAAUGUUUUGUUCCCUAGAAAAAUCUCAUUGUGAACAAGUUCCAAGGGGGGGCGUGAGAGGUAAUAGCAUGCAGCUUGACAAAUGCAGACUGAUAAUUAACAUUCCCUUCAAAAGGGGGCGUGAAACAUUUUUGUUCCCUAGAAAAAUUUCAUUGUGAACAAGUUCCAAGGGGGGGGGCGUGAGAAGUAAUAGCGUGCAUCUUGACAAAUGCAGACGAUAAUUAAAAUUUGCUUCAAAAGGGGGGGCGUGAAAAUGUUGUGUUCCCUAGAAAAAUCUCAUUGUGAACAAGUUCCAAGGGGGGGCGUGAGAGGUAAAAUAGCAUGCAUCUUGACAAAUGCAGACGAUAAUUAAAAUUCGCUUCAAAAGGGGGGGCGUGAAAAUGUUUUGUUCCCUAGAAAAAUCUUAUUGUGAACAAGUUCCAAGGGGGGGCAUGAGAGGUAAUAGCGUGCAUCUUGACAAAUGCAGACCGAUGAUUAAAAUUUGCUUCAAAAAGGAGCGGGAAAUGAAAAUGUUUUGUUCCCUAGAAAAAUCUCAUUGUGAACAAGUUCCAAGGGGGGGCGUGAGAGGUAAAAUAGCAUGCAUCUUGACAAAUGCAGACGAUAAUUAAAAUUCGCUUCAAAAGGGGGGGCGUGAAAAUGUUUUGUUCCCUAGAAAAAUCUUAUUGUGAACAAGUUCCAAGGGGGGGCGUGAGAGGUAAUAGAGUGCAUCUUGACAAAUGCAGACCGAUAAUUAAAAUUCCCUUCAAAAGGGGGGGUGAAAAAUGUUUGUUCCUUAGAAAAAUUUAAUUGUGAACAAGUUCCAUAGGGGGGGCGUGAGAGGUAAUAGUGUGCAUCUUGACAAAUGCAGACCGAUAAUUAACUUUCCCUUCAAAAUUAGAAACGUUGCUUUAGAAAAAUUUAAACUGUGAGCAAGUUCCAACAUGGUGCUUCUUAAAUGGGGGAGGGGGGGCACUAUG